CUGUUUUGGAUUGUGGUCUGUUUUUGGAGCGUCAAUGUGAGUGCUUUUGCCUUUGUUUUGGCCAAAAGCACCUGCAGGGAGAUGCCCUAUUUUGACAUCAGCUUCACAGUCGGGUGCAAUCAAGAAGUCAGAGUGGACGAGAGAAAAAAAAAAACAAGGAAAGAUGGGGAAAUGAUGAAGAAAAUACUGUAUAUCCUUCGUCAUGUAACUUAAAGGAGGAUUUGAUCAAUACACCUCAGCCUCCUGUUAGCUUUUGUUGGAGCUGCCUGUGGGAGUCAGAAGCAGAGUGAAAUAAUUCUUUCUAAAACACAAGAAGGACACCGUAUGGAUCUGGCUAGAGUAAAGAGUUUGCACUUGGUUUUAUAUGAAAUCAUUUUGAUCUUUGUCAUUUCUCACAGCCAUCAUUGGCAAAGCUUAGUACUUAAGGUAUUAUUUCUCUCCUCAUUUUUCAGAAUGUAUACCAACUUUUAAGAAUUUCACUUGAAUGCAUCUAAAUGGUGUCUGGAGUUUGGAGAUGGGGAUUUUUGGGGUUGUUACUGGUUGAUCAAACAAGGAUCUAACUCUUUAACAAAAAGGUCUAUCUCUGUGGGGAAGAAUGUUAACACUCUCUGGAUUGCAUUGCAGCCUGGUACGCGGCUGCCGUGCUACAGCGUUCUGGCUCAAUACUGGACCAAUUUCAAAGAUUGUUUUUCACAAUUUUUAGCCAACGCAAUUGUUUAGCCUCUUAGGGGGGCUUUCACACCCACAUUAUUUGGUUCAGUUGAAUCGCAGUGGAGUCGUUUAAGAAAACAAUUGGCAGAAGAGUUAAGUUUAAAGCCCCAGCAGAUUGGAAUAAUUUACCCGUAGAAAUAAGAUCCAUUCCAAUUCUUUGUAUUUUUAAGC